AUAACUCUAUAAUUUUCUCAUUUAUCAUUUUUCAAAGUAAUCAGCCACAAAUGCAUUGGGGUUUAAUCUGUAAAACUCUCGAUUUUCAAAGCACAACGGGAACAGACAGCAGAAAUGACUAAUAUUACUGUAUUACAGACUGACUCACAUAAUGUGUUUUUAUCGCAUCCAUUAUAUCAAUAAACACCUCAUCUUCACAAACUUUAUACUAUUCAUAUCCUAAUUUCAUAAGUAGAUACUCAUACUUGGUAUUUUAGUAGAUGUCUGAAGGUUUAACAGUGAUGUAUAGCAUUUAUGCAUCUGUGGGUGGUUGCUGGAUAAGAUCCCCGUGUGCUUUGUAAUCCUGGAAGCAUAUGUCUUCUGGUUACAUUCUAUUACAGGUGUCUAACUACCUCCAUAUUACAACUGUCACUGUUAUUCUUAUAGGAGUGGCAUGCAGUUAACCCAAAAUCAAAGCCUGUAAUUUGUGGCUGAUGGUGCACUUUGAGAUCAGGCCAAUCUCACUGCUCCAGGCGUCUAUGAGCGAGACUUGAUUAGGCCAAAUUACAUAUGGGAGCUAGUGCUGUAACCACAGCUCUGUUCAGAGUGAAAAAAGCCCUCCGUACAGCCCCUGGAGCUCAGUUUCCGUUCCCAGACAAGGGGGCCUUCAAUUCGCUUCACCCCAGCCACGACGAGGGUACGUGGGCUAGGCGGCCCUCUAUGCAGCCCCUGGAGCUCAGUUUCCGUUCCCAGACAAGGGGGCCUUCGACUUGCCUCACCCCAGCCACAGUGAGGGUACAUGGGCUAGGCCCUCUGUACAGCCCCUUGUCCCAAAUUAUGGAAAAUUCCAGGAAAAACGCAAUCGUACCCCGUUUCUGACUUAGUCAUUUUUUCGACCCAGGGUCUCCACCCUGCCGAGCUAGGCCAAAGAGGGUUUAGAUCUAGUAACAUUUUAUAGAAAAAUUAUACAUAUAUUUUUGCAUCAUGUGUUAUAUGGUAACCUAUAGGUAACCAGUUAAUGGAUCUUUUACUGUAAAAAUCACAAUCUUUUGAAUUUCCAAAAAAAAAAAACAACAACAACAUUAUGUUGACAUUUUUCAUUAUUUUACUUUUAAUGUGUUUUCAAAAAAAAAAAUAAGCACUAUGCUCUUUGUCACUUAAUAUUUUAUUUUGGUGUGUCAAUUGGUUAAAUUACUUGUAGUAUAUGAAAGUAAGUAUAUUUAAAAUAAUUUUUUUGCAUUUUAUUUUACAUUAAUCUCCAGCAGGGUACAACAACCAUUUCGGCUCAAGGCCUUCUUUAGUGCGUUGUGUUGAGUUUUAGUGUAUGUAACAUUUUACAGCUUUUGUUUUUCAUAUAAAAAAUAAUAUAUAAAGGCAUUUUGAAUUUUUCUUUGAAGUUUUAGUGUUUAUACUUCAUUUCUUGUGCUUUAUAUUUUAAAAGGGUAUUGAAUCGUUUGUAAUUGAAGUCAGCUGUGAAGUUUCCCAGUUCUUCUCCUUCUUCAUGAAGUCAAAGAAUCAACCUGAUGAGACCAAUCAUAUCCCAAAAGGGUGUCCUGUCCUUCCAUAUGACAUUGGAUAAGUCCAGGACACAGCUGCGUGUAAAUCCUAUCCACAUCUGAUGUUGCACUGGACUCUACGCAUGCAGAGGUCUCCGUACCCCAACCGCCAGUGCAAGCUUCAUUUCAGGAAUGCAAAUGCCUCGAGCCCUGACAGCCUGUGAUUUAUCUCCUCAUCUAUCCUUGCACACAUCUGCCUUUGCCCUUGUGUCUGCCUGUUGCUUAUUCCACCCUCCCUCCCUCCCUCUCCCAGGAGGCCAGGGACUCCCCUGCCUGCCCUUAGAGUUGGCCCAGGGCAGCGUUACAGCCGUCUCUGACCCAGCCACCCACCACUCCUCACCCGCCGUCCUCCCAGGGUCAGAUGGUGCAGUGGCGGGAUAAGAGGUCUCUUCUCCCGGAGGAGAGUGGCUCUGAACUGCCACAGUGCUGGUGUGAGUCUGUGAGCCGCUGCCACUGCAGCCUGCUAAGUGCUUUACAGUACAGCAUGAAAACACAAGUGACCUAAUAACCACACUCGCUCUCUGUCAACAAGGAUUACGCUCUGCCUGGAGUAAGAGGAGGCUGCUGGCAGGAAGGCAGCACUGUGUGUGCGUACAUGUGCGUGUGUGGACAAACAGAGAUGCAGGUUAGUUCUCCUCCUGACAGAGCUGCAGGAGAGCAUCACACGAGCUGCAGCAGGGCCGUCGAGCCUCCCAACGGAACACUCCCAAAACCCCCUGUCUAAAAGCUUUAAACAACUGCUUACAAUUCCACAGCGUCUACGCUGCUCCUCUCUCAACAGGCAGUGCGAGCAAGGACGUCUGCGGGCUCUCCACUGUUUGUCUCAUCUUCGUGGCCUCUGGCCCCACACGCAAACACACACACACACACACACACAUCUCGAAAAACGAGCCCCCUACACCUCGCGCCACCCCACCCUGUUUUCUCAUUUACUAGUCCACACUUGUGCGCAAGCUGCUGAGAAAUGGACGGCUGGUGUGAGGUCAGGUGUGAUUCAUCACACUGCGUCUGGGCGAAGAGUUGACAUUCGUAAAGGCACUCGCUCUGCUGCCAUUGUAAUUGAGUCUCCUUGUCUUUUCUAGGACACCAGCAAAUAUAACUAUGUCAGGACACCUCACAGCUAUAUAUUACCCAGCUCACUGAGAGAGACAAAGGGCGAGUUAUCAUUUGGGCAGCAGCUAAAGAGAGGGAGGGAGACACAUCUGGACAUCUGUAAGGUGGGGUUUUGAAGGCUGGGGUGCUGCUUUUACAAGAGGGGUCGGUUCAAUAAAUGAAACUCAAAUUUUACGUUGAGAACAUUUUCUGAAGAAUGCUUUUUUUUUAUUUUAUUAUGUUUUUAUAUUUUUAAUAUGGCAUUUUUGAUCAGUAAGUUGUUUCAGAUGUUUUUUUUAUUUUAUUUUUUUAAAUGAUUCUUGUACUUUUUUUAUUUUAUAUAUAUAUAUAUAUAUAUAUAUAUAAAAUAUAUAAUAUAUAAAACAUAAACAUAUAUUUAGUAAUGUAUUCAUGUGUUUCCGAUUUAUUGAUACAAUAUAUUAUAUAAGAUAAUUGAAAAUAUAAAUUAUAGUUACACUACAUUUCUAAAGUUCGGGGUCAUUGUUUAUAUGAAAUUAAUACUUCUUUCAACAUGGAUUCACUGAAGUGGUCUGAAGUGAUAGCCUUUUACUUUUUUUUUUUUUUUUUUUUUGAUAAAACUAUGUAAGGUACUUUACUUUGAGUCAUGUACUUAAUAUCAAUUUGUUGCAAAUACUUUUUUUUUUUUAUGAAAUGUUGUAUGUAUAAUAUUAAGUAAUCUUGAUGAGGCUUUUUAGAUAUGUGCCUUGUUCAUAAGUAGUCCUGCAGUUAGGUUAGCUUUGAAGCUAAAAUCGGCUAAUGAUUUCAUGCCAAUUUUUAUUUUUAUUUUUUUCUUUGUCAAUACUUAAAGUAAUAUACUUUUGUUUUAACUUUUUUAUCCACUCAGUAUUAAGUAAGUUAUUUCGUUAUGGAUUAACUGGGUUUUACAUCUGUAAUUUUGUUGUAAUUCGGAUUAUGUGCUCAAUAUGCCUUAAGAUACUGCUUGUGUACAGCUAAUAAAGUUAUUUGAUAGUUUUCCUUAAUUAUCUGGUUAAAUAAUAACAAACGUCUAUAAACUUAAGGGAAAAAAAGUAGCUUUGUAAGCAUAACAUUACACAAAUGACGGAGUUAGCAGAGACGUUUAUUCUGUGUCAGAGUUUGACAUGAAUUUGGGGAAAGUGCCAUACAGUAAUCGCUUUAGUUACUUUUAUUUAAUUUUACUUUACUUUGACAUCGACAUUGAGCUCAUUUAUGACUCUGAUGCUUCUCUGUUAUGAAUCUUCUCCGUCAGAGGCCGGCAGCACAGAAAAAGGUAAAGAAAACAUGAAAUAUGAACAGAUUAGUGAUGGAAUGCUUUAAUAUCACAAAAGAUGCCAUGACAAAAAUAACAUUAACGUUACAUGUUUGCUUUAUUCGCUGGUUUACUUAAAUUACCCUUGAAUUAUUUACCUAGUAAUCGUCAUUUUUCAUUACGCUAUCUGUAAUGCAACUUCUCAAUGAUUUAAAGUUACUGCUUGCAUACAACGUAAACAUACUUGUCUUUUAUUUAAUUCUGUGUUGAAAUUAUAUGAAAUAUGUCUUUAAACAUUUGGGAAAAAAGGUUUAUCCGAAAGCAUGUACAUAAAAUGACUGAGUUGAAUUUAGCUAAGACAGGUGUUUGGGAAACAUGCCAUGUGUUAAUCUCUACUUCUUUUUCUUUUAAGGAUUUUGACGUCAAAAUUGAGCUCUUAUUUUCACUGGGGCACUACUGAACUGUUAUCAUGUGAGGAGCAAGGAACAAGGCUAAAAUCUUCUCUGUCAGAGGCCAGCUGCACUGUAAAAGGAUCCGGAUGACGAAGAUGCCUUGCAAAUCCAAGAAGAUCCAGUCACUUCCCAUCAAAGAUCCCACACCUCUGAAACGAAAAUUUUUUAAUUUACUAAUUUUUCACUACAGACCCAUAAGACUUUUAUUCAUCUUCAAAACACAAAUUAACAUAUUUUAAAUGAAAUCUGACCGAUUUCUGUCCCUCCUUUGACAGUCCAUGCAAUUAUACCACUUUGAUGCUUUAAAAAGUUCAUAAUCACGCAUUUUUGAAUUCAAAUUUUCAAACGAGCCAUGAUUGCUUUAUAUGAUUAACAGUUUUAAUUUAACAUACUGUAUAUAACGUUGAUCAGUGUACAUAAACAGAAGUACUUGCUUGACACAUGAGAACAUUGGU